GAUGAACGCUGGCGGCGUGCCUAAUACAUGCAAGUCGAGCGAACAGACGAGGAGCUUGCUCCUCUGACGUUAGCGGCGGACGGGUGAGUAACACGUGGAUAACCUACCUAUACGACUGGGAUAACUUCGGGAAACCGGAGCUAAUACCGGAUAAUAUAUUGAACCGCAUGGUUCAAUAGUGAAAGACGGUUUUGCUGUCACUUAUAGAUGGAUCCGCGCCGCAUUAGCUAGUUGGUAAAGUAACGGCUUACCAAGGCGACGAUGCGUAGCCGACCUGAGAGGGUGAUCGGCCACACUGGAACUGAGGCACGGUCCCGACUCCUACGGGAGGCAGCAGUAGGGAAUCUUACGCGAUGGGCGAAAGCCUGACGGAGCAACGCCGCGUGAGUGAUGAAGGUCUUCGGAUCGUAAAGCUCUGUUAUUAGGGAAGAACAAAUGUGUAAGUAACUAUGAACGUCUUGACGGUACCUAAUCAGAAAGCCACGGCUAACUACGUG
rnacentral:rRNA from 1 species